GAAAUAAGUAUAUUUAAGGAAUUUAAAAUUGAUGGAAUGAAUACGACAGGCACUAAGUACAAAAAGGGCCCCGACGCCCGCCCGUUGCAGACUUCGUAGACACGCGAUGGCCCAAGGGCACCCUCGCCUGAUGAAGAAACGGGCCGAGCCGCGGGGAUCAGAGCCGGGGGUGCCAGAAAGCCCAGUGACUUGGUCAACAAACUCCUCCUGGAUCAUGAAAGCGGCCAAGUUGGCAGUGUAGGAAGCCAGGAAGAUGACAGCGAAGAAGGCCCACACAGACA